ACGAACGCUGGCGGCGUGCUUCACCCCUGCCAGUCGCACGGAAAGGCCCUGCUUGCAGGGUACUCGAGUGGCGAACGGGUGAGUAACACGUGGGUGAUCUGCCCUGCACUUCGGGAUAAGCCUGGGAAACUGGGUCUAAUACCGGAUAGGAGCCAUUUUUAGUGUGAUGGUUGGAAAGUUUUUUCGGUGUAGGAUGAGCUCGCGGCCUAUCAGCUUGUUGGUGGGGUAAUGGCCUACCAAGGCGGCGACGGGUAGCCGGCCUGAGAGGGUGGACGGCCACAUUGGGACUGAGAUACGGCCCAGACUCCUACGGGAGGCAGCAGUGGGGAAUAUUGCACAAUGGGCGCAAGCCUGAUGCAGCGACGCCGCGUGGGGGAUGACGGCCUUCGGGUUGUAAACUCCUUUCGCUAGGGACGAAGCUUUUUGUGACGGUACCUAGAUAAGAAGCACCGGCUAACUACGUG
rnacentral:rRNA from 1 species